rnacentral:rRNA from 1 species
GACGAACGCUGGCGGCGUGCUUAACACAUGCAAGUCGAGCGGUAAGGCCCUUUCGGGGGUACACGAGCGGCGAACGGGUGAGUAACACGUGGGUGACCUGCCCUCAGCUCUGGGAUAAGCCUGGGAAACCGGGUCUAAUACCGGAUAUGACUCCAUGACGCAUGUUGUGGGGUGGAAAGCCUUGUGCGGCUGAGGAUGGGCCCGCGGCCUAUCAGCUUGUUGGUGGGGUGAUGGCCUACCAAGGCGACGACGGGUAGCCGGCCUGAGAGGGCGACCGGCCACACUGGGACUGAGACACGGCCCAGACUCCUACGGGAGGCAGCAGUGGGGAAUCUUGCGCAAUGGGCGAAAGCCUGACGCAGCGACGCCGCGUGAAGGAUGACGGCCUCGG